rnacentral:rRNA from 1 species
AUUGAACGCUGGCGGCAGGCUUAACACAUGCAAGUCGAGCGGAGCGAGGGUGCUUGCACCUUAGCUUAGCGGCGGACGGGUGAGUAAUGCUUAGGAAUCUGCCUAUUAGUGGGGGACAACAUUCCGAAAGGAAUGCUAAUACCGCAUACGCCUACGGGGAAAGCAGGGGAUCUUCGGACCUUGCGCUAAUAGAUGAGCCUAAGUCGGAUUAGCUAGUUGGUGGGGUAAAGGCCUACCAAGGCGACGAUCUGUAGCGGGUCUGAGAGGAUGAUCCGCCACACUGGGACUGAGACACGGCCCAGACUCCUACGGGAGGCAGCAGUGGGGAAUAUUGGACAAUGGGCGAAAGCCUGAUCCAGCAAUGCCGCGUGAGUGAUGAAGGCC